rnacentral:precursor_RNA from 1 species
CAGGUGGCUCCUCAAUUUAAACAUUUGGAUUGGGGAGCCACUUUUG